rnacentral:lncRNA from 1 species
CAUGUUUUGUUGAUUGUUUAUGUAUUUAUUCUCAAAGUUUUAACAAAUUUUACGAAAAAUACUUCAGAUAUAAGCUGUGAACACACAUGUACACAAAACUGUGCAACAUUCAUCAUCAUAUUGUAUCAAUUUGUCGGAGUAUGACGCUCAUAUUUGUGACAUCGUUUUGUUCGCUUUGGCAACCCUCGUAUAUAUCAGAUGCUGUUCGGCCUCAAAUGCGACUGAAUAAACACUGAUUGUGUUGCCUGGAAUAUGAAAUGAUAUUGACUGAUUGUUCUGUAUAUCAAGGUAUGUACUGUACAUUUAUACUGAAUUUAUUCGAUUUUUUUCACACGUCGCUUUCACAUUUUCGCAGAGUCUCGGAAAUCACAUUUUCUAAUAAACACAGUUUCACACAUACAGAAAGACUCCAUUUCACCCAUACAGAAAGACUUCUUCAGAAAUCACAGUUUUUAACAUACAGAAAAACUUCAUAUUAUCUCAUCAGUUAAUCCAAUUAUGAUAACAGUAGAAAUGCUUAGAAAGAUUUUAUUCUGUUCCAUAUACAGUACAACUGUUAUUUUAAUUUUCUCUUUCCUAUAUUUUAUUUAAAGCAGGUACUGUUCUGUUACAAAACAACUAAUAAACAUUUUAUUAUUUUAACAGGUGAACCAUAUUUUACAUGAACUUGGGAAAAAAAACAACUUGGAUUCCAUGGAAAAUUGGAAAUAUAUAUAAUCAUGUCAUCAAUCAGAUAGUAAACAAUCAUUAAGAUGGCCUCAAGAUUAUAUUUCACAGUGACCAACAUGAAAAUUUUUAAAUGGGAAUUAGUUGAUGGCAUUAUAGUUUUCUAAGGGGCGGACCAUUUGAUUUUUGAGGGGGGGGGGUGGAAGAUUCAGUCAGUGCAAGAAUUUUUUUUCCGCCCAGGCGAACGAGACAGAUAUUUUUUUCCUGUAAAAGUGCAGCGCAAGAUAUUUUUUUCCCAAUAUAUUUGGCCGCAGGAUAUUUUUUUUGCCUCUCAUAAUAACGGCUUACAGCAACUUUAGGCUUUCAUAUAGCUAUCAUCGGAGACGUAGCAGGGGUUUUCAGUCAGAGGAGGCCGAGAACUGAAUCCCAAGAGGGGCCAAAGAAUUUUCACUGUGCUUUAUUUUAUAUGGUUAUGUCUUAAUGUUCCCCACACUAAAGCGUGCAAGUUUACUUACAAAGAAUGUAUAACUGCACCAAAACCUAAAACAUGCAGGGAUAGAGUAGAGUACAGUACUCCAAAAUGGGGGAGGUUACAGUAUAUGAAUGACCUGUAACCUUGGGGGGUUCGGGGGCAUGCUCCCCCGAGAAAAUUUUAAAAUUUGAACCUCGGAAAUGCUAUUUCCUGCGUUUUCAGCCAUGGAUAAUUAUCUUAAGCCCAGAUUUUCUCAGGGGGGGGCAACAAUUUUGCCAGGGAACACCACUGGCUAUCGUAUGUCAGAGGCUCCAAAGGCGGUAGAAUCCCUGUGAUGUUAUCCACUGUUCACCCCGUGUUCUUUUAAGCAAAUGUGCCUGCUCAAAAAUGCAAAAUCUUGCAAGCCUGUGGACACAAUACUGAAGUGAAGAGCAUCAGUAGAGUUACAUGUAGAAAAUUUUUUUUUGAGCGCUCUCUUUUGCAUGAUAUUUUUUUUUCUCGAUUGUGUGCUGCAUGAUUUUUUUUUUCUUUCUCCUUGGGUUGCAGGAAAUUUUUUUUCGAAAUCUUCCACCCCCCCCCCUCAAAAGUCAAAUGGUCCGCCCCUAAUGCUAUAUAAUUUUGUUCAUCAAGGUGAAGAAACCUUAACUCACUAUACCUUUUCCUGUUACAGAGCUAUGGUAGUAAUCUUUGAAGAUUUUCAUGAUCCCUCUAUCCAGUAGUUAACCAGUCUAGUAUUAUGACUGUAUUAUGUUAAAUAGCCUUGUUUGACUUUUGUAUUUUGUUUCUUUAAUAAUACAUUUACAAUGGUCAAAAUUACAGUUUAAUAUUUGUAUUUCUAAUGAUAAUUACUUGCAUAUAUCCAUCACACUUCUCCGUUACUAUUAAACUUAUUACUAUCAUGCAAGUAAAAUCUCUUGGGAAAAAUAAAAUGUUGUCCCAGGAUGGUCAUAAAUAUCAGCUAGUAAAACUAAUGAAUAUACCUUUAAUCAUGUACAUAUGACUAUCAUAUAAUAUGUUGUAAUUCCUUUAAGUGUUUCAAAUUAAAUAAAUUUUUAUUUUCAGUUGUUCAUUGUUCAAACUUAUUUGAAACCUACAGUAUAUGUAGUUGCUAUGAUUCAAAUUAAUAUCCAAAAGUGUGCCUUUUACUUCAGUCUUUAUGGACUCCUCCCUAAUACAGACACUUUAUUGUGCCACUCCAAUGUUCAUUCAAAGUGAUCCAACUGGCAUCUGAGCUGGUGAUAAUAUACAGCAAAGUAUUGGAACUAGGAGUAUAUCAGAUAAGUUGUUCAUUCAGUCAAGACCUUCAGGUUGUGCUGAUCAUCAUAUCAAACUCCAUCACAUAUUGUGCCUUAAAAACAUAUAUACAAAUUUUAAAACUUGUUGCAGCACACUGGGCCAUUCCAUCUAAUAUAGCCCCCCACACCUUAAAAAUUUUGGAACCCCAUUGGAUGCAAUUUUGGAACCCCUAUGAAUAUCCUUCUAACCCUUUAGGAUAUAGUUCCUGCUCCUUUGGAUAUCACUAAAACACCUAAUUUUUAGGAAAUCUCUUAAAGGGGAAGUCAAGUCCGUUCUGCGCAUCGGUUCUGCGCAUAACAAUAGAGGGCCCUCUGAGGUAAACAUUGCCCAAAUUUUGAAUGUUUCGAAUUUUUCUGAACACAAACUUUAUUUCAUAUUCAUGUAGAAGCAUAACGAACCAAAAUGGUGUUAGAUAUUCAGACAGUACAUCAUAUUUUAAAAAAUACAGCAGUUCAAAAUGUAAACAAACCGUUUGUUUACAUUACGGACUUGACUUCCCCUUUAAGCUACCCUCCAGAGAAAAUCGUAAGCGCCAGCGCUAAUUGUAGUCAGCAACAUAACGUUGUCGUCACUGCGCAUGCGAUAAAUCUCCAAGAAUCUUGUAGAUUUCAUCGUAUUUUACCAGGGUCUUCCUCAGCUCACGCGCCACCACGAG